GGACCACUCAGUGGCACGUCUCAGGCCCCCACCUGUGCCAGGCUGGGCCCUGUGCCUGCCCAGAGCUCAGGAGUGCCUGCACACUAGUUGCCCACUGGGCAAACACCCGCUUCACCUCACCCUCCCUCCAGGCCAGGCCCCAUGCCCUACCCCCAUGGCCUGGCUGGCACCGGUGCUCACAGUGAAUUCAGGGUCACCCCGGGCCAGCCACUCCCAGUGACUCAGAUGAGUCAACCAGGAAGGGGCACAGAUCCACCUCCAGCCAGGCCUCCCUCCCUGGCCCUGGGGAAAAGCCCUCAGGAAACCUGGCCAGCGGCUUGCACAAAGGGGCUGAGAUGAGCGUGGAAAAGCCACUGCAUCGGAAACAGUGAAUUCUCAACAAUGCACCUUCACCCUCAUCUAAUACCGCACGGAAUGGUGGGCCGAGGCCGGCUGGACGUAACCAGGCCAGUUCCUGGCCACUGGGACCCAGCGGACGGACGCCUGGAGAGCAGCACUGGGAGGGUGGGCGGGGCUGGAGAGGUCAGAGUGCAGGAGUCCCUGAGACCCCCGUGGGAGUGAUGGCCCGGACAUACUGCUGCUUAGACAGCCCGACCAAGGCAAAGCCGUGAGGCGGCCUGAGCUGGCCACUCGCUGCCUGUUUAUUCUCAGCCUGGGGAAGGGGUUGCUCUAAGGGCAUCCCACCUUCCUUUGCUCAAGGGGCUGGGUUAUCCCUGGUCUCUGGCCACUAGGCCGGGGCUAGAGCACCAAACCAUGCCAAGUUCAUGAGGACCUAGCACCCACCCAAGGGUGGGGCAGGGAGGUGCACCGGAAUGUCCAGGGAGUGAGAGGGUGCCGCAGAGAACACCUCUGGGGUCCCCGGCGGGGGAGCUCUGCACACACCGUGUCUCAUGGCUCCUGGGUAGAGCUGCCCCUGGUUAGAGUGGGAAAGGAGACAAGAAUCACAGCUUCUGAACGAGUGGUUGGGAAGUUACUGGAAAACCCAGUCAAGUAUAAGAGGUGUUACUUUUACGGAACCAACAUUAGCUUAUAUAUCUUCUGGAAGAUGUUUUCUUUCACACCCACCCACCCCUCUGAUCCCCCAAAGGCAGCUGGGCCUUGCUUCGGUGACGGCCACGCAAGGGGCGGGAGGCCAGGAGAGCAAAGAGCAGGGCUGUGCGCAGGGGGCUGAGAGGUGGCAAAAGGCACAAGAACCGAGUCCGGGACAUGGGGAGGAGGCCACUGGCCCGAAGAAGCUUCGCUCAGUUUAGGAAUAACCCAGAUUCAGCCAUUCCUGUCUACACAGGCCCCAGCCCGGCAGCUGCCAGGAGGGGUACGCUGGGAGUGGUUGUGGGCGCUGAGUGCUGCACAGCCAGAGCGGGAGGCAAGGGGGGAGGCCAGCUGUGUGCGUGAAGGCAUGGGGCUGUCAGACGGAGGAGGCAAGAAAGAAGGCCGCCUCUAACGUUAUA